rnacentral:rRNA from 1 species
UUGGUGGCGAGUGGCGAACGGGUGAGUAAGAUAUUGGAACGUACCGAGUAAUGGGGGAUAACUAUCCGAAAGGAUAGCUAAUACCGCAUACGCUUUGAGAAGGAAAGUGGGGGAUCUUCGGACCUCACGUUAUUCGAGCGGCCAAUAACUGAUUAGCUAGUUGGAGGGGUAAAGGCCCACCAAGGCGACGAUCAGUAGCGGGUCUGAGAGGAUGAUCCGCCACACUGGGACUGAGACACGGCCCAGACUCC